rnacentral:rRNA from 3 species
AUUCAUGACUGGGGUGAAGUCGUAACAAGGUAACCGUAGGGGAACCUGCGGUUGGAUCACCUCCUUACCU